CAUUAGUCUUUUAAUUGAAGGCUGGAAUGAAUGGUUGAAUGAAAUAUUAACUGUUUCAAAUAAAUUAAUAAUAGAAUUUUAUUUUUUAGUUAAAAAGCUAAAAUUUUUUUAAAAGACGAGAAGACCCUAUAAAUCUUUAUAUUUUAAUAUAUGUUUUUUAUAUAGAUAAUUUAAAUUUUUAUAAAUUAAAAUAUUUUAUUGGGGUGAUAUUAAAAUUUAAUUAACUUUUAAUAAAUAAUAACAAAAAUUAUUGAAUGAUUGAUCCAUAAAUAAUGAUUAAAAAAUUAAGUUACUUUAGGGAUAACAGCGUAAUUUUUUUAGAGAGUUC
rnacentral:rRNA from 1 species